rnacentral:lncRNA from 1 species
GGACUGCACAUAAUUGGGAGUCUGGAACCUAUUGGAAGCUCCAGGAAGAGAAUACUUGGACAUGGAACAGCAAGCAGGGAUGAGCCCACAUUUCCACGAGGUGAGAGCUUCAGUGUCACUGCUGUGUGCAGGAGGGGACUAUGGGAUGGAGCUGGAGAAGAAGCACAGCGUCACUGCAUAGCAUCCAGUGACCUGAGUGGGGACAGGCAAGCACAUCCUCGCCCCUUUCCCCUGCCUUUCGUGUGCUCUCCCUUCCUCUCACUUUCCUCUCUGUUCCAUGUGCUGAAUGAUCCCCUGUCUCUCCCUUCUAGUGGAACAGCAGAGCAGUGUGUGAACUGUGAGCCCCAGAAACAGGAAACAAUAGAGAAGAACCCGGUGUGAUGUCCAGUGUGCUAGACAAAUUGCUGGAACAAGAGCGACAAGAUCAGGGUCCCAUCGUUGGGAUACUUUAGGUAAGUCACUACCCUUCCUCCAGUGUCUUUUAUAUAACAGAAUAACAAUACCCAACUCUCCCAACCACCCAGGAGUAUUGUGGACUUUAAGUG